UACGGAGGGUGCAAGCGUUAUCCGGAUUCACUGGGUUUAAAGGGUGCGUAGGCGGGCAGGUAAGUCAGUGGUGAAAUCUCCGGGCUUAACCCGGAACUGCCGUUGAUACUAUCUGUCUUGAAUAUUGUGGAGAUAAGCGGAAUAUGUCAUGUAGCGGUGAAAUGCUUAGAUAUGACAUAGAACACCAAUUGCGAAGGCAGCUUACUACACAGUUAUUGACGCUGAGGCACGAAAGCGUGGGGAGCAAACAGG
rnacentral:rRNA from 1 species